rnacentral:lncRNA from 1 species
CUCAGAUUUGACUUGAAGUCUUCAGAUAUUCCCAAUGACCCUGCAUUUUCCAGAAGUCCAAAGCCCCAGGAGCUCUGGUACAAGAGGUUUGGACCAGAAUCCUUUAGACCCUCAGUAUCCUCUCCUUCGCUGGUCUGCUUCAUAAGGACAAAAGUCAACUGUCAGAAAGCAAACACCUUGCAUUGGGGAGGCAGAACUCUGUGAAAGCCUGGGGUUAUUUUUAACUUUCUCAGAAUUCUGUUCAGAGGCUGGAUGAUGUAUGGACACACACGCACUCCAUUCUGCAUCUCCUAUCGGAGUAACUUAUACAAAACAUAUGUAAAGGCAUGACUCUGAGUAAGGAACAGUACCAAAGUACCUUAAUCCUUCUAUCGACAACUGUCCUAUUGGGUUACACCGUUUUAAUCCCAGAGGAGUUGUCUCUUGACAUUAAAGUGUCCAAACAGUAUUUAUAUCUGUGGCUGCCCUGUAAGAUCACUUAACCCUGCACAGCAGUUUAAAAGUAGUUAAUGACAGACCCAGCAAGACUUGUCCCUUAUGAAUGAUCACAGAAGUUCGACCUGGGCUGUCAUGGUUUAUGGAGGAAGGCAGUUUGUCCAUAGCCUGCUUCACCCACAGCAGCCACUCCAAGACCUUCCCGCCCAGCUGGUGACAUCAGUUACUGAUGGAAUACUGAGACAUCACCUCCAUCUCAGUGGUUAUUUGGAAGCAGAGCUGAAUUCUGACAUGAGGUUAUGCUUAUACGUGGACAUUGCAAAUACCAACAGCAUGAAAAUGGGUUCGGAGCAAGGACACAUAUGAUAUCCAGUGGAAUUGUGUGUCAGCUAUCAUCGGCUGGGGGGGUUGGGGGUGGGAGGGGAGGGAGGAAAAGAAAAUGAUUUUUGUAUUCAAUGAAUAAUGUUUGAAAUUGACCAAAUAAAAUAUUUAAAUUGAAAAAAAAAAGAAACA